rnacentral:tRNA from 1 species
GGUAGAAUGGCUGAAGAGAUAGGCAUUAGACUGUAAAUCUAAGAAUAAAGGCAACACCCUUUUUCUACCA